UCUCUUCUUUUGGUUUUCUAUAUCCAGGGUUGUUUCCAUGUGUUCUUUCUUGAUUGCUUCUAUUUCCAUUUUUAAUUCCUUCAACUGUUUGAUUGUGUUUUCCUGGAAUUCUUUCAGGGAUUUUUGUGUCUCCUCUCUAUGGGCUUCUACUUGUUUAUUUAUGUUUUCCUGGAAUUCUUUCAGGGAUUUUUGUGUCUCCUCUCUAUGGGCUUCUACUUGUUUAUUUAUGUUUUCCUGGAAUUCUUUCAGGGAUUUUUGCGAUUCUUUCAGGCAUUUUUGCGAUUCCUCUCUGUAGGCUUCUACUUGUUCUCUAAGGGAGUUCUUCACGUCUUUCUUGAAGUCCUCCAGCAUCAUGAUCAAAAAUGAUUUUGAAACUAGAUCUUGCUUUUCUGGUGUGUUUGGAUAUUCCAUGUUUGUUUUGAUGGGAGAAUUGGGCUCCGAUGGUGCCAUGUAGUCUUGGUUUCUGUUGCUUGGGUUCCUGUGCUUGCCUCUUGCCAUCAGAUUAUCUCUAGUGUUACUUUGUUCUGCUAUUUCUGACAGUGGCUAGACUGUCCUAUAAGCCUGUGUGUCAGGAGUGCUGUAGACCUGUUUUCCUCUCUUUCAGUCAGUUAUGGGGACAGAGUGUUCUGCUUUCAGGCGUGUAGUUUUUCCUCUCUACAGGUCUUCAGCUGUUCCUGUGGGCCUGUGUCUUGAGUUCACCAGGCAGCUUUCUUGCAGCAGAAAAGUUGGUCUUACCUGUGGUCCCGAGGCUCAAGUUCGCUCGUGGGGUGCUGCUCACGGGCUCUCUGCAGCGGCAGCAACCAGGAAGACUUGUGCCGCCGUUUCCGGGAGCUUCAGUGCACCAGGGUUCCAGAUGGUCUUUGGCUUUUUCCUCUGGCGUCCGAGAUGUGUGUGCAGAGAGCAGUCUCUUCCGGUUUCACAGGCUUGUCUGCCUCUCUGAAGGUUCAGCUCUCCCUCCCACGGGAUUUGGGUGCAGAGAACUGUUUAUCCGGUCUGUUUCCUUCAGGUUCUGGUGGUGUCUCAGGCAGGGGUCCUGCCGCUCCUGGGCCCUCCCCCAUGGGAGCCCAGAGGCCUUAUACAGUUUCCUCUUGGGCCAGGGAUGUGGGCAGGGGUGAGCAGUGUUGGUGGUCUCUUCCGCUCUGCAGCCUCAGGAGUGCCCACCUGACCAGGCGGUUGUGUCUCUCUCUCACCUACAGAAAUACUUUUAAUAGUUCACUAAAGCACCUUGGUGCAGGCUACAGAGGCCAAAAGGAGGCUGUUAAGCAAAGCCCUCUCUGCACGAUAUGGCUGUUAGGUCGGUGGUUUUAUGUGAAACACGGAAGCCCUGUCCACGUUGCAGCAUGUAGCUGAGAAGAAAACGAAGAUAGCAUGGCCCAUAGCUCACAGCUUCCUCUCAUGCUCAGGAAUUGCCACCAGUGCCAUUACAUUGGCCUCCUCUCAUAUGCCUCUGGAAACCACAUGUGGCUGGCCUCUGUUUGUAACAGUUUGGCUAUGGUUGCUGGCUCCUCUUGGACAUGUUUUUAGAACUUAAAGAAACAAAGGUUUAUUAGGACAUAUUUAAAAUAAAACUAUUCUCUUCUCAUUUAGUAUACAGUUGGUUCUUCCAAUUUCUUCAGUCAAACUUAUUUUAUUGAUCAAACUUACACUUUGAGAAAUCCAGACAUGUAUGUAGUGUAUUUGGGCUAUUCUCACCCUCCCCCACAUUCCCUUAUCUCCCUUUCAGCCCUGACACCCUCGAACUUCCCUGUGGACCUAGUCACACAUUCAUGUCUUUUUGUUUUAUAACCAUUGAUUUUAACCAGGGCCAUCUGUAUGACCAUGGCUUUAGAAUUAUCUACUGGAAUUGGUUGGCUUAAAAUAGACAAUGAGUUUCCCUUCCCCCAAAUCCACCAUAGCUAAGGGUUCAGCCCCUCCAGCCCUGUCCCCAAACUAUGAUUGACUGUUAGACAGUCCGGUUUUAUGCAGGCCCAGUGCUGGUAUCUGCAGCUACUGUGAGAUCACACCCUGAGGGUACAUAGCCCUUUUCCCUGCCUUCUAUUUCCAUGUCUACUGUGUUCCCUGAGCCCUAGUUGGGGUAGUAUGAAUGCCCACCCAUCCAGGUGACAGUAUAUGUGUUCACUGAGAUAAAACAAAGACAAUAACCAAUAGGAAACAUAUUAUAAGCAUUGCACAUGCUACAUAAUGUAGAGAAUAAGAAAAAAUCAAACAGUGCUGUAUAAAUUCAAGAUCAUCGCUCUAUGUCAGUGUCAGAAGUCUAUCAGUUCCAAAGAAUUUGUAUCAAUGUUAAGUUAGAAAUGAUCCACUCCUGUUUGCUGUACAAUGGAUUUGUUCAGAUGGCCAACAAUACAAAAAAUGAAAAAGCAAGGUAUAAAGAAUCUAAAGUGAAUAUGCUCUGUGAGACAAUUGCAAACCUCUUAUGGGUAUUACUACAUAGCAAGACAAUAGAGACUAUCUCGUCUUUGGCUAUGUAUUCAGCUUGAACAUUGUAGGGGGUGGCUUGUAGUUUUGACUUAGAACCCUUGAAGAGCUGAGAAGUGUGUCUUUGGCUUUAUCAGAUCCAGCUAUGGAAAAUUAGCAAUCAAUACAUGCCUGGAAUUGAGAUUUUAGAUAGACGGAUGCUGUUAUAAUUAGGAAAUAGGCUGUAAUAUUAUGUUAAGAAUUUCCCUUUUUGUAUGUUUGCAUAACUACAUGUUACCUUUCAAUGUAAGCUUUUCAGUCACAUUAUUAAGUCUAAUUGAGUUAAGAUAGCAGGCAGAGUAGUGGAAAGAGAUCUGCUAGAUUGUCUUAAAUAGCAUUUUCUAUUGCUGGUGUGCUCUGUAAUUAGCCAGCAUUGUAGAUAACUCAAUAUAUGUGCUCUGAGUCGUGCAUAUCAGAGAAAGUUUCUCUAUCUUGUUUAAGGAUAUUUUUCCCUUUCAUGCUACCAUAUAGAAUCUUGACCUGUCAUGCAUCUUGCUAUCUAAGAGAUUUCCUUUAAUGUGUUGAGAAUAACAUAAUAUUUAUUUUUAAAAUCAGACUAACCCAUGACUAGAAUGCUGUAGAUUUGUAUCUCAAAUUGUUCUGCAGUUCUUUUUUAUGUAUGUAUGAUUGGGGUUUUGAUAUUCAGGGUUUUUCUAGUCCAGUGGUUCUUAUGUUUUGGGUUACAACCUCUUUAAGGGGGGGUCAUGUAUCUGAUAUCCUACAUAUCAGAUAUUUACAUUGUGACUCAUAACAGUAGCAACAUUACAGUUAUGAAGUAGCAAUGAGGUAAUUUUAUGAUGGGGGGGUUAACACAACCUGAAGAACUAUAUUAAAGGGUUGUAUGUUUAGGAAGAUUGACAACCAUAGUUCUAGUCUAUAUUCACUAAUUGUCAAAAACAAAAGGGUAUACAAUAAAUAAGCCCAUAUUUUUAUGUUCUUGCUAUGGAAAUCCUUUUUAUUGUGUUUUUAUAUUAGCCAUCAUUGGAUACAAACAUCACUUUUCCAAAAAUGUUCAAAUACAUUACAUCUACUGUUAGAACAAUGACCACAGCGUGUAAACCAUUUAAAAUGGUUUCUUGGAGGACUUGUAAGAGGGCUCGAAAGCUGAGCUACUACCUCCCAAUCAUGAGGAUCUGAGUUCAUAUCAUAGAUAUCGAUAUCUACCUGAAGGUCAGGUUCCAUAGUGCGAGUCUUUGAUUUCAGUGUUGAAUUGGAUGGACACAUGCAGAUCCCUGGAACACACUGGUGAGCCAGACUUGAGGAGUCAAUAAACUCAAGACUCAAAUCAGAGAUCCUAUCUCAAAAAAACAGAAUGGAAAACACACAAGAAAGACACCUGAUGUUGACCAUUAGCUUCCAAACAAAUGUACACACAUCUACACAUGCAUGUAUGGUACAUGUGUGUACAUAAUGCAGACAAACACACAUGCACAUGCAGAGGAGAGAGAGAGAGAGAGAGAGAGAGAGAGAGAGAGAGAGAAUAUAAGUUUUCCUAGUAUUUGUUACUACACUGGGAGGCCACUUCUCCUGACAAAAAACCCAAUUGAUUGAACAGUUUUCCAAAUUGUCCACUAACUCCAUAUCCUUGAGGCUUCACGGCUCACUUUUUUUCUAUUGAUAAUGACUGCGUGGUACAACCUAUAUUAAAGACAUCUUUACCAUGUAUAAUAAUUAAGAAAGUUCCUGUAUUUCACACAGGUUGUUUGUAGUCAACUUAGGACUGAAGCUGUGAGUACCAUGACUCAUUUCUGGGACAAUGAGAUAAGAGACUGUGAACACCUUGUGAAAGAGUACACAGCAGACAGGAAGCAUAUAUUUGAUAGGAGUUUCCUGAUGGCAUUUUUAGGAGAGUUUUCUUAUUCUUUCUAUGCAUUUAUAUGUGAUUAUUUAUGUGUGAUUAUGUAUUACAUGUGAUUAUUUUUUCUCUGAUUCCUCCAUUUUCACUUCCCUCCUGCCAUUACUGAUAAUUUCCAUUUUAUUUUUGAUACCAAGACUAUGGUAUUAACUACACACAGCAGUGUGUUCUAUCUGAGUGGAGUAGCCUUUAAAUAGUUCUUCCUUUGGAUCUAAAAAGUAGUAUUUACUGAAAAUAUUUUUCUAGUUUGUGUCAUUUUUUAAAAAAGAGUUGUAGACACAUCAGAUUUUGGCAAAUGUGUGUUCUCUGAUGAGGAAGUGACUGCCCCUUUCUGUGUCAUUUCCUAAGCUCUGAAACCUUGUUGACACCAAACUCCUUUGUGAAGGAGUCAACAUAAAGGUCUUUGAUAUUGUCCCUGACUCAGUAUUAGUGGACAUUGUAUGUCUGGCUGGCAGUUUUUCCCUGUGGUAAGGUCAGCCUCAUGUAGUAUUUCACAACCUUCUUGUGCGUCAGUGAGAAUCAAAGGACUCCUUAGAGUGAAAGACAAAAGCUUGGCUUGGAGUCCUUAGAUGAGCAAUCCCUGAGCAAGACAUGGGACUUAGAUUCUACCGUCAAUGUUCAUUUGUCAUUCAUUAUGAGAAAUUAGCUUUUGUAAAAGUAUUCUUCAAUUUUUAUUAUGAUUUUUUUGGGGGGGAACAGAUAUUGAAAUUAUGUUACUCACUUUACUUCCUGAUCUCACCACCCUUCUCUUCUCCCAUUUCCACCCUUACAAAUCUCUCUACCCAUUACCCUCUCCUCUUCUCAGAGAAGUGGGACCACCCUGGGACCUCCAGUCGGCAGCAUAGACCUAAGCACAUCUCACACUGAGGCUCAACUAGGUAGUCUAUUUAGGAGAAAGAAAUCCAAUAUCCGACAACUGAGCCAGAGAUCUCAUCUUCUCCAAUGGUUAGUGAACCGACAUGAAGGCCAAGCUGCACAUCUGCCACAAAUGUACAGGGAGCCUAGGUCUAGCCCUUGUAUGUUCUUUGGUUGGUGGUUCAGCCUCUGUGAGUCCACCAAGUUUUAUCUUUACUAUAGGGAUUCAUUAUCUACAGUUUGAUUUCUCUCCUUGAUGGAACAUUGGGAAACAUGUUGGAUCAGGAUAAUUUUGUAGAGAAGGCAGUAGGUGGUCACGUAGAAGUCCUUUUCAGGCACUCAUAGAAGGACCACUUGUUUCACCCAUUAUCUACUCUCUGAGACAGAAGUAACUAUUUCCCUCACCAGGAUGGUAAUGAGUGGGAAAAAAAUGCCAUGGUAGAGCAUAAACUACCAUGAAUUUUCAAUUCAGAAAAAAGGUUCUACUGUUCCUUGGUGUGUUUAAAAAGAUUUAUUUUAUUUUUAUGUAUGUUUUUGUAUAUGCUACUCUGUGUAGAUACCUAUACAGAGCAGAAAAGAACAUAAAAUUUUCUGGAGCUGGAGUUAAACGUAGUAUUGCUGCACUCAAAAUGGAUACUGGGAACCAAAUUCAGGUUCUCUAGAAUUGCUCUUACCCACUAAGCCAUCUUUCCUCUCCCAUGGGCUUUUGUUCUUAGGGGCCAGAAGAGUUUUCCUGUCUAUUGCUUGUGAGAAGGUCAAAGUGAUGGUGGGACUUUUCAACAUUUACAAUAUUGUGAUCUCAAAGGAACUAUUGUGACAUUUGGCCACCGUGAUAUUUUGCACCAUUGCUUUGCCUUGACUUUGUUCCUUGACUGUGAAAAUAUAAAUGUUAUGAAUUUGAGCAUCCUGCCACUCCUGCCGUAGUUUGUGGCCAUUAUGCUUUAGGUAAUUUGUUUUCUCCAGUUGUUCCUGACACUCAUCCCUCUAUGAGUAGGAAGAACAAUGGACACACACACAGACACUUUUCUUUAUUGAGAGGAAAGUGUGUAUGUCUGAAAAAAGGGGGCGAUUUAUUUUAAGACAUGGAAUUGGGUAGAUCAAUGUAGAAAACUAUAAAUAAAACCUCACAUUGGAAAUAAAAUGAUCAUGGGGCUGACAGUCAUCUUUAUAACAAGAGUGUUUGCCACCAAAGUCUCAUUUGGUGAAGGUGAACAAGCAUCCUUAGGGAUGCCUUGCCUGGUCUCCAUCUAUCAUUCUGAGUCACUCCUAAGCCAGUUUUGCUAUCAGAACAUGACUUCCCAGCCUUCCUAUAUGGUCCAAGUUCUCCUUCACCCCAAGAAUUCAGCUAAUGAACAUUGAACAGCCAAAAACUAUUUUGAGAAGAGAUUCUUUUUGAAAAUUGCUAUCAUUAAGGUAUAAGCCAUAUGAACUCAAGGGGUGGCAAAGACCUGAGCAGUGUCUUUGUUCAUUAAGACAGACAUAUUUAUAUGAGCAGUAAUGAUGACAGCAUAUCAGCAUCUACAUGAUAUAAAGCAGAAUGCAGAUGCAAUUAGACGGCACUGACAGUCCAAUUGUAAUUAUGUAAAUAACACCUAGUUUUACUCUGCAUCUCUCAUCUCUAGGCGUAUAAGUAAGAGGGUUAUGGGAAAUAAGUUAGUGCUAGGCAGAAAUGUCUGGCUAUUUAUUUGUGGCUAGGACAGUAUCCUGAAGCUUACAUUUCUCUGAUUUAUGCUUUCAUCCACCAUCCCAUGGGUCUCACAGAGAGAACAUGCAAAUAUGUGUUUGUUGUUCAACCUGCAGCCCGUGGCAGGAAUCCCAGGGUAGCUAUGAAUGCAGUGCAAUGCAUUAGUAGAUGACAAGGACAUAUCUUAAAGUCUCCUGAGAGAACAUUGGUGAAGAUACAGCAUGUGCAGGAAGACUGCAGCUCCAUGGUAUUCCUGCUCAAGCUCUUCUGCUUCCUGUUUGGGUUUUCCUUUAUUAAGACUACUACUUUCUACCUUCCUUUUGCUCACAAAGUUUUAAAUUGUCCUACCUGAGGAUGAUUCCUGUGUCUAGCUGUCUAUCAAGCUUCCCAUCACAAAGUUAAAGCAUUUGAUUGGUUUUUUUAAGUGAAUACAGAUGCCAACAGGAGUGUAGCCUUGAUUGAUGCUAAUUAUAAGUCUAUAAUGGUUCCUCCGCUUUAGCCACUGCCUCUGCAGGUUGUGAUUUUUAUGGGUAAAGUAACUGCUGGUCAACAGCUUAAUCAUAAGUUCUGGCCUAUCUUUCCUUCAGUGAUUCUCUGUUCGGUUGUGUAAUCCCAGGAACAUACAUUAUCGUCAUUAAAGGCAACGUUCCUUUGAGUGAUUAAUGCAUUUAUAAGGAGCCUGAAGUAUCUUUGUUGUGAUCCCAGCAUCGGUUGUGGUCGCUGGGCUUUCUGGGUAUUAAAGCUACCUGCAAUGU